UAGGUUUGUUAUAAGUCAAAGCUCUUCAAGUUUGACCAAAUUUAUAAAAAAUAUAGCAAAAUUUUCAACAUAAAAAAUAAAUAUACUAUAAAACAUACUCAAUGGUGGGUUUGAUGAAACUAAUUUGGUAUUGUGGAUAUUACUAUUGUUUUAUAAACUUGGUCAAACUUAAAAGAGGUUUGACUUAGGACAGACCCAA
rnacentral:pre_miRNA from 1 species